AACAGGAUUAGAUACCCUGGUAGUCCACGCCGUAAACGAUGUCGACUUGGAGGUUGUUCCCUUGAGGAGUGGCUUCCGGAGCUAACGCGUUAAGUCGACCGCCUGGGGAGUACGGCCGCAAGGUUAAAACUCAAAUGAAUUGACGGGGGCCCGCACAAGCGGUGGAGCAUGUGGUUUAAUUCGAUGCAACGCGAAGAACCUUACCUACUCUUGACAUCCAGAGAACUUAGCAGAGAUGCUUUGGUGCCUUCGGGAACUCUGAGACAGGUGCUGCAUGGCUGUCAUCAGCUCGUGUUGUGAAAUGUUGGGUUAAGUCCCGCAACGAGCGCAACCCUUAUCCUUUGUUGCCAGCGGUUCGGCCGGGAACUCAAAGGAGACUGCCAGUGAUAAACUGGAGGAAGGUGGGGAUGACGUCAAGUCAUCAUGGCCCUUACGAGUAGGGCUACACACGUGCUACAAUGGCGCAUACAAAGAGAAGCGACCUCGCGAGAGCAAGCGGACCUCAUAAAGUGCGUCGUAGUCCGGAUUGGAGUCUGCAACUCGACUCCAUGAAGUCGGAAUCGCUAGUAAUCGUAGAUCAGAAUGCUACGGUGAAUACGUUCCCGGGCCUUGUACACACCGCCCGUCACACCAUGGGAGUGGGUUGCAAAAGAAGUAGGUAGCUUAACCUUCGGGAGGGCGCUUACCACUUUGUGAUUCAUGACUGGGGUGAAGUCGUAACAAGGUAACC
rnacentral:rRNA from 1 species